rnacentral:rRNA from 1 species
GACGAACGCUGGCGGCGUGCCUAAUACAUGCAAGUCGAACGCACAGUUUAUACCGUAGCUUGCUACACCAUAAACUGUGAGUUGCGAACGGGUGAGUAACGCGUAGGUAACCUGCCUGGUAGCGGGGGAUAACUAUUGGAAACGAUAGCUAAUACCGCAUAAUAUUAAUUAUUGCAUGAUAAUUGAUUGAAAGAUGCAAUUGCAUCACUACCAGAUGGACCUGCGUUGUAUUAGCUAGUAGGUGAGGUAACGGCUCACCUAGGCGACGAUACAUAGCCGACCUGAGAGGGUGAUCGGCCACACUGGGACUGAGACACGGCCCAGACGCCUACGGGAGGCAGCAGUAGGGAAUCUUCGGCAAUGGACGAAAGUCUGACCGAGCAACGCCGCGUGAGUGAAGAAGGUUUUCGGAUCGUAAAGCUCUGUUGUAAGAGAAGAACGGGUGUGAGAGUGGAAAGUUCACACUGUGACGGUAUCUGACCAGAAAGGGACGGCUAACUACGUG